AGAGUUUGAUCAUGGCUCAGGACGAACGCUGGCGGCGUGCCUAAUACAUGCAAGUUGAGCGCUGAAGGUUGGUACUUGUACCGACUGGAUGAGCAGCGAACGGGUGAGUAACGCGUGGGGAAUCUGCCUUUGAGCGGGGGACAACAUUUGGAAACGAAUGCUAAUACCGCAUAAAAACUUUAAACACAAGUUUUAAGUUUGAAAGAUGCAAUUGCAUCACUCAAAGAUGAUCCCGCGUUGUAUUAGCUAGUUGGUGAGGUAAAGGCUCACCAAGGCGAUGAUACAUAGCCGACCUGAGAGGGUGAUCGGCCACAUUGGGACUGAGACACGGCCCAAACUCCUACGGGAGGCAGCAGUAGGGAAUCUUCGGCAAUGGACGAAAGUCUGACCGAGCAACGCCGCGUGAGUGAAGAAGGUUUUCGGAUCGUAAAACUCUGUUGGUAGAGAAGAACGUUGGUGAGAGUGGAAAGCUCAUCAAGUGACGGUAACUACCCAGAAAGGGACGGCUAACUACGUGCCAGCAGCCGCGGUAAUACGUAGGUCCCGAGCGUUGUCCGGAUUUAUUGGGCGUAAAGCGAGCGCAGGUGGUUUAUUAAGUCUGGUGUAAAAGGCAGUGGCUCAACCAUUGUAUGCAUUGGAAACUGGUAGACUUGAGUGCAGGAGAGGAGAGUGGAAUUCCAUGUGUAGCGGUGAAAUGCGUAGAUAUAUGGAGGAACACCGGUGGCGAAAGCGGCUCUCUGGCCUGUAACUGACACUGAGGCUCGAAAGCGUGGGGAGCAAACAGGAUUAGAUACCCUGGUAGUCCACGCCGUAAACGAUGAGUGCUAGAUGUAGGGAGCUAUAAGUUCUCUGUAUCGCAGCUAACGCAAUAAGCACUCCGCCUGGGGAGUACGACCGCAAGGUUGAAACUCAAAGGAAUUGACGGGGGCCCGCACAAGCGGUGGAGCAUGUGGUUUAAUUCGAAACAACGCGAAGAACCUUACCAGGUCUUGACAUACUCGUGCUAUUCCUAGAGAUAGGAAGUUCCUUCGGGACACGGGAUACAGGUGGUGCAUGGUUGUCGUCAGCUCGUGUCGUGAGAUGUUGGGUUAAGUCCCGCAACGAGCGCAACCCCUAUUGUUAGUUGCCAUCAUUAAGUUGGGCACUCUAACGAGACUGCCGGUGAUAAACCGGAGGAAGGUGGGGAUGACGUCAAAUCAUCAUGCCCCUUAUGACCUGGGCUACACACGUGCUACAAUGGAUGGUACAACGAGUCGCGAGACAGUGAUGUUUAGCUAAUCUCUUAAAACCAUUCUCAGUUCGGAUUGUAGGCUGCAACUCGCCUACAUGAAGUCGGAAUCGCUAGUAAUCGCGGAUCAGCACGCCGCGGUGAAUACGUUCCCCGGCCUUGUACACACCGCCCGUCACACCACGGGAGUUGGGAGUACCCGAAGUAGGUUGCCUAACCGCAAGGAGGGCGCUUCCUAAGGUAAGACCGAUGACUGGGGUGAAGUCGUAACAAGGUAACCGUAUCGGAAGGUGCGGCUGGAUCACCUCCUU
rnacentral:rRNA from 1 species